rnacentral:sRNA from 1 species
AUGUAUCCCUCGUACACCGCGAUUCUGGGUGUGCCGUCCGCGCCCACCUGACAGCUGCUCGCGACGUGUUGUUCGCC